AUUGAACGCUGGCGGAAUGCUUUACACAUGCAAGUCGAACGGCAGCACGGACUUCGGUCUGGUGGCGAGUGGCGAACGGGUGAGUAAUAUAUCGGAACGUAUCCAAUAAUGGGGGAUAACUAAUCGAAAGGUUAGCUAAUACCGCAUACGCCCUGAGGGGGAAAGCUAGUGACCGCAAGGCCUGGCGGUAAUGGAGCUGCCGAUAGCUGAUUAGCUAGUUGGUGAGGUAAAGGCUCACCAAGGCUUCGAUCAGUAGCUGGUCUGAGAGGACGACGAGCCACACUGGAACUGGGACACGGUCCAGAGUCCUACGGGAGGCAGCAGUGGGGAAUGUUGGACAAUGGGCGAAAGCCUGAACCAGCCAUGCCGCGUGAUUGAAGAAGACCUUCGGGUUGUAAAGCUCUUUCGCAAGGGAAGAAAACUUAUCCUCUAACAUAGGGUGAGGUUGACGGUACCUUGAUAAGAAGCACCGGCUAACUACGUGCCAGCAGCCGCCGUAA
rnacentral:rRNA from 1 species